GAUGAACGCUAGCGAUAGGCCUAACACAUGCAAGUCGAGGGGCAGCAUAGAGUGGCAAUACUUUGAUGGCGACCGGCGCACGGGUGAGUAACACGUAUGCAACCUACCUACAUCAGGGGAAUAACCCGGAGAAAUUCGGACUAAUACCGCAUAAUACAGGGAUGCCGCAUGGCAAUAUUUGUUAAAGCUUUAUCGGAUGUAGAUGGGCAUGCGUUCCAUUAGCUAGUUGGUGAGGUAACGGCUCACCAAGGCAACGAUGGAUAGGGGAACUGAGAGGUUUGUCCCCCACACUGGAACUGAGACACGGACCAGACUCCUACGGGAGGCAGCAGUGAGGAAUAUUGGUCAAUGGACGAGAGUCUGAACCAGCCAAAUCGCGUGAAGGAAGACUGCCCUACGGGUUGUAAACUUCUUUUGUACAGGAAUAAAAGACAUUACGUGUAAUGUAUUGCAUGUACUGUACGAAUAAGCAUCGGCUAACUCCGUGCCAGCCGCCGCGGUAA
rnacentral:rRNA from 1 species